ensembl:misc_RNA
ACAACAGCAUAAGAGACGUCACAAUAUGCUCUUUUUAUGUCCUUGCUCCAGCAAUGUCACAGCACAGGCAGCAAAAGUUCUAAGCUUUCCUACACUUCCUUAUCAACAUACCUUAAUUAUGACCUGAUAUUAACACCUUUAUUGGUGAGAGGAUAGAGUUCAGUCUCUAUGGCCAAUUCAGUCAUUGGCCUCU